GACGAACGCUGGCGGCGUGCUUAACACAUGCAAGUCGAGCGGUAAGGCCCUUUCGGGGAUACACGAGCGGCGAACGGGUGAGUAACACGUGGGUGACCUGCCCUCAGCUCUGGGAUAAGCCUGGGAAACCGGGUCUAAUACUGGAUAUGACUCCAUGACGCAUGUUGUGGGGUGGAAAGCCUUGUGCGGCUGAGGAUGGGCCCGCGGCCUAUCAGCUUGUUGGGGGGUGA
rnacentral:rRNA from 1 species